GGAGGAUGCGAGCGUUAUCCGGAUUUAUUGGGUUUAAAGGGAGCGCAGACGGGGGAUUAAGUCAGUUGUGAAAGUUUGCGGCUCAACCGUAAAAUUGCAGUUGAUACUGGUUCCCUUGAGUGCAGUUGAGGCAGGCGGAAUGCGUGGUGUAGCGGUGAAAUGCAUAGAUAUCACGCAGAACUCCGAUUGCGAAGGCAGCUUACUAAACCAUAACUGACACUGAAGCACGAAAGCGUGGGGAUCAAACAGGAUUAGAUACCCUGGUAGUCCACGCAGUAAACGAUGAUUACUAGGAGUUUGCGAUACAAUGUAAGCUCUACAGCGAAAGCGUUAAGUAAUCCACCUGGGGGGU
rnacentral:rRNA from 1 species